GUUGACUUAUGAAUUGGAACCACAAGUAAAUAGUUUCGUUUACAGGUCCAGUCCACCAGCUUCACUGAAGCCAGUGCAAGUGACGUGGAAAGGAUGGAAUCAGCAAGCGAUGCGGGUGAAUGUUUCAGCCUACAACAAUCCAUGUCAUCAGCGGGUCCGGAAAAUGUGCUAGUGCUGGAUGGACUGCCCCUUGAACCAUUUGUGCCCUACCAGAUAGUCAGCCAAUAUGGGUUCCAUUACACAUUAGUACCG